rnacentral:lncRNA from 1 species
UGGUUAUACCUCAACAAACUUUCAUGUUUACUCUUGAACUAAAACUGGUAUGCAUCGAUUUCAUGAUACUACGAGAAACUCAUGAGCAGUGAGCGAUGUUAAAGCACAGAAAAUGUGUGUGAUCGGAUUAUGAAGAAAUCAACAGUUUUCAGAACCAAAAUCAAUAGUGAUAACAAAGAAUUCCGAUGAAACAACGAGGAACGAACAUAUUCCUAUUUCUAGCAGCUAAACAAACAUACGAGCAGUAAUCGUUUUUUUUUCAUCUCCAAAUCCGCAAAGCAAAACUCCAAAAUUUCAAAACCCAUUCGUACCAAUGGAAUUUAGGCAAAUGGAUGCCUAGGAUCCAAAUAUUUUGAUCCUACGGGCCCCAUUUAACUAUCAUCCAUUAACGAAUGGCCCGGAUUCUUCAAACAAUUGUGAAAAGCGCGUGAGAUGAGAGAAAAACGCAUAGAAUCAGAUUAUAAUGAUGAGGGGAGGACCAUGGAGGGGACCAGGUCUUACGUGGAACGGGAUUUUGGGGUGAUUUCCGGCUGGUUUGGGCGCGGGUCACAGGCGGAGAGGGUGAGGAGGGGGCGGCUGUUGGUGUUCU